CUGGAGACAGGUGCUGCAUGGCUGUCGUCAGCUCGUGUCGUGAGAUGUUGGGUUAAGUCCCGCAACGAGCGCAACCCUUGCCUUUAGUUGCCAGCAGUUCGGCUGGGCACUCUAAAGGGACUGCCGGUGUUAAACCGGAGGAAGGUGGGGAUGACGUCAAGUCCUCAUGGCCUUUAUGACCAGGGCUACACACGUACUACAAUGGCCGAUACAGAGGGCAGCUACCUGGUGACAGGAUGCAAAUCUCCAAAGUCGGUCUCAGUUCGGAUCGGAGUCUGCAACCCGACUCCGUGAAGUUGGAUUCGCUAGUAAUCGCACAUCAGCCAUGGCGCGGUGAAUACGUUCCCGGGCCUU
rnacentral:rRNA from 1 species